GACGAACGCUGGCGGCGUGCCUAAUACAUGCAAGUUGAGCGCUGAAGGUUGGUGCUUGUACCAACUGGAUGAGCAGCGAACGGGUGAGUAACGCGUGGGGAAUCUGCCUUUGAGCGGGGGACAACAUUUGGAAACGAAUGCUAAUACCGCAUAAAAACUUUAAACACAAGUUUUAAGUUUGAAAGAUGCAAUUGCAUCACUCAAAGAUGAUCCCGCGUUGUAUUAGCUAGUUGGUGAGGUAAAGGCUCACCAAGGCGAUGAUACAUAGCCGACCUGAGAGGGUGAUCGGCCACAUUGGGACUGAGACACGGCCCAAACUCCUACGGGAGGCAGCAGUAGGGAAUCUUCGGCAAUGGACGAACGUCUGACCGAGCAACGCCGCGUGAGUGAAGAAGGUUUUUGGAUCGUAAAACUCUGUUGGUAGAGAAGAACGUUGGUGAGAGUGGAAAGCUCAUCAAGUGACGGUAACUACACAGAAAGGGACGGCUAACUACGUG
rnacentral:rRNA from 1 species